UACAGAGGGUGCAAGCGUUGUUCGGAAUUAUUGGGCGUAAAGGGUGCGUAGGCGGUUUGGUAAGUCUUAUGUGAAAUCUAUGGGCUCAACUCAUAGUCUGCAUGAGAAACUGCCGGGCUUGAGUAUGGGAGAGGUGAGUGGAAUUCCUGGUGUAGCGGUGAAAUGCGUAGAUAUCAGGAGGAACCCCUGUGGCGAAAGCGGCUCACUGGACCAUAACUGACGCUGAUGCACGAAGGCUAGGGGAGCAAACAGG
rnacentral:rRNA from 1 species